rnacentral:misc_RNA from 1 species
ACAAACUUGGUCAUUUAGAGGAAGUAAAAGUCGUAACAAGGUUUCCGUAGGUGAACCUGCGGAAGGAUCAUUACCGAAGAAAUGAUAGCGUUGAGCUGACUUCUCGGAGUAUGUGCUUGCGCCAUCGCUUUUUCUCUUCUCCCUUGUGAACUCUUUGUAGGCUAUACAAUCGAUAUUUGGCUUGCUUGAUGGCGGGGAACUUGCUUUCUCCAAUAUCUUUCAAGUUCUGUUGAGACCUGCGUUGUUGGUUUCCGUCCAAAGCGCUUGACUCUAAUCUUAUCGUUGCUAGUCUAUGACUUUUAUAACAUCUACUCUUUCAGUCUAUGAAUGUUACUUCAUUGGUGUUUAACCAAUAAAUUGUUUGUACAACUUUCAGCAACGGAUCUCUUGGCUCUCGCAUCGAUGAAGAACGCAGC